rnacentral:rRNA from 1 species
GAUCAGACGAGACGACCCGCUGAAU